rnacentral:rRNA from 1 species
GAGGUGCCGAGCGUUAGGCGGAAUCACUGGGCUUAAAGCGUGUGUAGGCGGGCCGUUAAGUACCUUGUGAAAUCCCCCGGCUCAACCGGGGAACGGCUGGGUAUACUGGCGGUCUUGGGGCCACCUAGGGGCGGACGGAACAAGCGGUGGAGCGGUGAAAUGCGUAGAUAUCGCUUGGAACGCCGACGGCGAAAGCAGUCCGCUGGGGGUGAGCCGACGCUGAGACACGAAAGCCAGGGGAGCGAACGGGAUUAGAUACCCCCGGUAGUCCUGGCCCUAAACGAUGUCCACUAGGUCGCCGCCCCUUUGACGGGGGUGGCGGCCGAAGCAAAAGUGCUAAGUGGACCGCCUGGGAAGUACGGUCGCAAGGCUA